rnacentral:tmRNA from 1 species
GGGCUUGUACUGGUUUCGACGGGGAUUUAGAAAUUGCGGAAGCCAUUGAUGGACCAGGACCAUCUAAAAACUUGGAAUUAAAUAUAAACGCAGACAAUAAGUUAGCGUACGCUGCCUAGUGGCAGCUGUCUUACCUAAGUUGACUCACGGCUUAGGAUAAGGCAUCAAAACAGUGGGGAACUUUGGCAGGAAAGCUUUGACUUGUCAAAAGAUUUAUGAAGCUACUAAGGGCAUUUGCCUGUCGUUUGGCGAAUGUCUGAGGGAAUGUCUAUAAAGCGACUGUAAUGGGAGAUGUCGUGAUGGAAGAGUCUUCGGACAGGGGUUCGAUUCCCCUCAGGUCCAUUU